GAUGAACGCUGGCGGCGUGCCUAAUACAUGCAAGUCGAGCGAACGGACGAGAAGCUUGCUUCUCUGAUGUUAGCGGCGGACGGGUGAGUAACACGUGGAUAACCUACCUAUAAGACUGGGAUAACUUCGGGAAACCGGAGCUAAUUCCGGAUAAUAUUUUGAACCGCAUGGUUCAAAAGUGAAAGACGGUCUUGCUGUCACUUAUAGAUGGAUCCGCGCUGCAUUGGCUAGUUGGUAAGGUAACGGCUUACCAAGGCAACGAUGCAUAGCCGACCUGAGAGGGUGAUCGGCCACACUGGAACUGAGACACGGUCCAGACUCCUACGGGAGGCAGCAGUAGGGAAUCUUCCGCAAUGGGCGAAAGCCUGACGGAGCAACGCCGCGUGAGUGAUGAAGGUCUUCGGAUCGUAAAACUCUGUUAUUAGGGAAGAACAUAUGUGUAAGUAACUGUGCACAUCUUGACGGUACCUAAUCAGAAAGCCACGGCUAACUACGUG
rnacentral:rRNA from 1 species